rnacentral:lncRNA from 1 species
CAAACUUCAAAUUUCUGAGUUUUCCAUGACAAAUUAGAUGCCUGGAGAAUAUCGAUUCAUUCAUCUCUUAUGCAUGUGUUACUUGAGUAAAAUCUAGUUGAUAUCCAAUUUAAAAAUAGAAAUCAUUUCAAAUCAUUUUGGUGAUUUCCAAAAAGUUAGAUGUUGCAAUUAAUAAGUAUUCAAAGAGAGGCAACUGAUCUUACCUUGAGGCAAGGAGGCCUUAACCUUAGAUCAAACGAAAAAAGGGAAAUACAAUAGAAAUGCAUAAAAAAGAAGCGAUAUAUAUGUCAUAUGAGCACAAAAGGAUUUGCAAUUUUACUUCACCUUAGGUGGAUGGAUCACCAAGCCUUAGCUCAAGAUCUAAAUCCUCUUUGGAACUAGGGCUAACUUCCACCACCUUCGAUUGGGGAUCGUGAACAAUAUUUCUAUCAACUGAAGUUUGUUUUGGGAAGAAAGACAUUGUUGCAUCAUCUGCUCUUCUUCUCUUGAAGCACAUAUUAUCAUCCUCUUCACCAGAAGAAGCCGUUUGGUUAUUAUUUCCGCAUACUACAAAGUUAAGGCUCACAGACAAAUCCGCUGCAGCAUAACCCCUCUUGUUAGCCCUAUAGACGUUUGGUGUUACUACUGACUUUGGUGCAACCUCUCACAGGAGAACCACCAAGACGGCUGACCUACAAACGAAGCUUAUUCGGCUUCUAGGGUUUAACCGGUCCCCAGCCGUCGGGGUUGAAGGGGACGGCGCCGAUUUCAAAGCCUACCAUGUUGUUUUCCGAUCUGAUUGAGGUGAGAGAGUGAAGAUGAGUGAGAGAUAGGGGAGGGUGUAAAGAUUGAGAUUUGGGAGAGUAGAGAACUGCUUCAGAUGUUGGAAGCGAUGUUGGAAGGCUAAGAGAGAAAAAGAC